GACGAACGCUGGCGGCGUGCUUAACACAUGCAAGUCGUACGGUAAGGCCCUUUCGGGGGUACACGAGUGGCGAACGGGUGAGUAACACGUGAGUAACCUGCCCACAACUUUGGGAUAACGCUAGGAAACUGGUGCUAAUACUGGAUAUGUGCUCCUGCUGCAUGGUGGGGGUUGGAAAGCUCCGGCGGUUGUGGUUGGACUCGCGGCCUAUCAGCUUGUUGGUGGGGUAGUGGCCUACCAAGGCGGCGACGGGUAGCCGGCCUGAGAGGGUGACCGGCCACAUUGGGACUGGGACACGGCCACGACCCCGACGGGAGGGAGCAGUGGGGGCUAGUGCUCAAUGGGCGCACGCCCGAUGCAGCACCGCCGCGUGCGGGAUGACGGCCUUCGGGUUGUGAACCGCAAGCAGCAGGGACGAAGCUUUUUGUGACGGUACCUGCAGAAGAAGCACCGGCUAACUCCGUG
rnacentral:rRNA from 1 species